AACACUUGUACAUGGAUCCCUUAAGUAAGUGACAGAUUACUAGUUCUACAAACGAUAAUGCAAAGUCGAUAUUUUAUCGAUAAAAUGAUUUUUCUGUACUUCUUAAGAAAUAAACGUCUAUCGAGUAUAUAUUACUAAAGCCUAAGAAAAAGACAAGCUAGUGAAAUUGCUGACGUCUCAUAGAGACACAAUAUUAAACAAAAAACGGAUGGGACCACGAACGAAGCCAAAAACAAAGCUUGGAUCCAGUCACAAAUAGUUUUAAUGCGACAGGAACCCUUUACAGUUUCAGGUGGUGCGAGAAAUUGGAAAGACGUGUAAAAACAUGCUGCGCCCAGCCCACCUCAAAUUGAAUUGGUGCAGGAGGAUGAUGAUAAUGUUUGGUACAUCAUAUGAGGACUAAUAUUAAAAUAUUUGUUUACUA